CCUACGGGUGGCAGCAGUGAGGAAUAUUGGUCAAUGGGCGGAAGUCUGAACCAGCCAAGUAGCGUGAAGGAUGACGGCCCUACGGGUUGUAAACUUCUUUUAUAAGGGAAUAAAACGCCGCACGUGUGCCGUUUUGCAUGUACUGUAUGAAUAAGGAUCGGCUAACUCCGUGCCAGCAGCCGCGGUAAUACGGAAGGUCCGGGCGUUAUCCGGAUUUAUUGGGUUUAAAGGGAGCGUAGGUGGGUUGUCAAGUCAGUUGUGAAAGUUUGGGGCUCAACCGGGAAAUUGCAAUGGAUACUGGCAGUCUUGAGUACACGGGAGGUAGGCGGAAUUCGUGGUGUAGCGGUGGAAUGCUUAGAUAUCACGAAGAACCCCGAUUGCGAAGGCAGCUUACUAAAGCGUAACUGACACUGAUGCUCGAAAGCGUGGGUAUCAAACAGGAUUAGAUACCCUAGUAGUC
rnacentral:rRNA from 1 species